AUUUACUGAAUUAUUCUGUAGUGUGAAUUACUUUCGGCGAUUAAAUUAUAGUAUAUUAGCUGUUUUGUCCCGAAAGUAAGAUAAUGUAUUACUUGUGUGAAGUGAUGACUGAGUAUUAUUGGUAUAGGUGUUGAAAUGAGACAUGUCUAACUUAUUAGACAUGUGAGAAUUAUUCGUUUUAGUAGAUGAAGUGGUGGAUUGGUCAGUCAAGACUUAUCCCAGGUUUUAUUCAAUGAAGGGAUACUAAGCUAAGUGUGUGAAUUUCCGAGUGGCCACGGUUAUUUGCAUUCUAGCAUAGUACCAAUAUGCCCUUUAUUAUUUUAUACAUUUGGAAACAAUUUUGAUUUUUAAAUGUUUUCUUAGAGAAAGAAUGAGAGUCAGGCUUUUCUGAACUGGUACCUAAUGAAUGGCCUAUCUCACUAUUUCUCAUUCAGGGCAAGAAGUCGGUUUUGACAACGAAAGGGUUUCAUAAAGACUUGGUUUUAAAGAAUAAUCUUCAUCGGCUAUAUAAUUGUUUUCUAGUUAUCUAAUUUUAUGCCAAAAAAAAAAAAAAAAAUUUGACUGUAAAAGAUGAAUAUCAAGGAUGUUUUCAUGAUGAUGGUCAUUUUCUCUUCUUACGUUAUGUGGUUUGUGUUCAAAAGUAUGGAUGAUGAGGAUUCGUUUGUAUUUUCGUAUACAUUCAUUGUAAUUUAUACUAUUGUUAUAGCUUAUUUCCUUUCUUUCUAUAUUGUAGUCCUCAUGUGAGGUGUUUACACAUCCUCGCCUUUUUAUAUAUGAUAAGGAUUACAAGUCAGGAAUAAGUUUUGUUUUCGGGAUGAAAGUAAGUGUUGUGUAUGAAAUCUUAUGCUGUGAAAUGUUGUUCUGUUUAUUUGUAAUGGUAGUUCUUGUCUCCGAUUAUCAAAUUUAGUUUGAAAUUUCGAGGACGAAAUUAUUUUAACGGGGAAAGGAUUGUAAUAUCCAACAUUUUUAUUAUAAAUCAGAGUUUUAAUACAUAAAAUGUACAAGUUUACAAAUUUAAGAAAUAGUAAUGGAAAAAUAGUGUUUAAAAUAUGAUUUUAUGUUUUUAAUGAGAUUAAAGAGAGAGAAACUUGAGUAGUCAAGUAUUGGACCCAAAUGUCAUAUAAUUUUAAUUGGGGAUUUUUAUAAAAUUAAGAAAGUUUUGCUAAAGGGCUUAUUUGAAAAGAAUUUUAAUAUUUUGGGUCCAAGUGUAAUUUUAAAAAUAAUUUAAAAAAAAAAAGAAAAAAAAAAAAGAAAAAAAAAAAGAAAAGGCUUCAGCCUUUCUUUAUUUACCCGAGUCUCUCUCUCUCUCCUCAGAAAACCUCUCUCUCUCUCUCUCUCUCUCUCUCUCUCUCUCUCUCUCUCUCUCUCUCUCUCCUCUACGUAUCACUGUUGCCGACGACGCAGGAGUACUUUCCGGCCACCAUUUUUAGCCACGCGCCGGACCGUUGGAUUCAGAGGCCUCCGAACUAUCGACCAACGCGGGAAUCUAGAGCUCACUCGCCGAUUAAACGCCUCAACCACUCGAUUUAAGUUCGGCCACCCCGCGACUUUAAAGUUGCGAUUCGGCCACCUCGGGCAUCCGUUUUCCGAUCCGUCACCACCAUCGUGCUCCUCGUGUUGUGGGCUUCAAAACCCAAUAACUUGUUCCUACAUCUACCAUAGUUGGGUGGUGGGCCCACCACGAGCCACCGCGAUCCACCGUAGACCGACGGUCGAAACUUAGUGUUCGAGGUUCCGAAGUACGUUUUGAGUCUCAUAAAAUCAUCGUUUGACUUAUUGUGGAACCCGAUCAUUUUGGAUUUGUAUGGAUUUGAUUGAUUGACUCUUGGUGAGGAAUUUUAAAAUAAGCUAAGGACCUAAGGUGUGGCUUUAGCUAUUGAGCAACUUGUGGAGCACGGACUCAGUAGCAAUGCAAUAAUGGUUUAGAGUUUUCAUAUGGCUGCCUUAAAUUUAAAGUAUUCAUACGUGUAAUAAUUUCUACUAAUAAGUUUAUAUAAAAGUUUUAAAUUUUUCUGUAUUUCUUCGUAUCAUUUUAUUUAAUUCUUUUGGUCAAGUGCCUUACAUACUCGUAAACCCUAGAAUUACGAGUAUGUGGCAGACGUACCCUACC